rnacentral:misc_RNA from 1 species
GCAAACUUGGUCAUUUAGAGGAAGUAAAAGUCGUAACAAGGUUUCCGUAGGUGAACCUGCGGAAGGAUCAUCAUCGAUUCUUAAUCAAACCUCUCUUAAGGGGGGAAGUCACUUUCCUCCUUAAGAGACAACUCUCUUGUGAACCUGUAAUUAUGUUUAGUGGGAGGUUAAAGUGAAGGGAAAAAGUGUCAAAGCUUUUUUUUGGACCCGGCCCCCCUCCCACCAUUACUAGUUAACCAAGCAUUUCUUAUUCAAAGCAAGUCUGAUACUUGGGUUUUUUGAAAUCCAUUUUAAAAGAAUCUAGUACAACUUGCAGCGAUGGAUCUCUUGGCUCUGGCAUCGAUGAAGAACGCAGC